UACAGAGGUGGCAAGCGUUGUUCGGAAUUACUGGGCGUAAAGGGCGCGUAGGCGGCCUACUAAGUCAGACGUGAAAUCCCCCGGCUUAACCUGGGAACUGCGUCUGAUACUGGAAGGCUUGAGGAUGGGAGAGGGAUGUAGAAUUCCAGGUGUAGCGGUGAAAUGCGUAGAUAUCUGGAGGAAUACCGGUGGCGAAGGCGGCAUCCUGGACCAUUACUGACGCUGAGGCGCGAAAGCGUGGGGAGCAAACAGGG
rnacentral:rRNA from 1 species